UGGGGAAUCUUGCGCAAUGGGGGCAACCCUGACGCAGCGACGCCGCGUGCGGGACGAAGGCCUUCGGGUCGUAAACCGCUUUCAGCAGGGACGAGACAAGACGGUACCUGCAGAAGAAGCCCCGGCUAACUACGUGCCAGCAGCCGCGGUAAUACGUAGGGGGCGAGCGUUAUCCGGAUUCAUUGGGCGUAAAGCGCGCGUAGGCGGCCGCGUAGGCGGGGGGUCAAAUCCCGGGGCUCAACCCCGGUCCGCCCCCCGAACCCCGCGGCUCGGGUCCGGUAGGGGAGGGUGGAAUUCCCGGUGUAGCGGUGGAAUGCGCAGAUAUCGGGAGGAACACCGGUGGCGAAGGCGGCCCUCUGGGCCGAGACCGACGCUGAGGCGCGAAAGCUGGGGGAGCGAACAG
rnacentral:rRNA from 1 species